rnacentral:RNase_P_RNA from 1 species
UGAGUCCGCCGGACAGUCGCUGUUCCACAUUUGUGGAAGGGAGGAAAGUCCGGGCUCCACAGGGUAAGGUGCCAGAUAACGUCUGGGCGGCGUGAGUCGACGGAAAGUGCAGCAGAGAGUAGACCGCCUAAGCAUCGCAAGAUGACGGUAAGGGUGAAAGGGUGCGGUAAGAGCGCACCGCGUGGGUGGCAACAUUCCACGGCAUGGUAAACCCCACUGGGAGCAAGACCAAAUAGGGAUCCGCUAGGUGUGACCCGCACUGGAUCCGGGUAGGUUGCUGGAGGUGCAUAGCGAUGUGCACCCUAGAUGAAUGGCUGUCUAUUACAGAACCCGGCUUAUAGGCGGACUCAGGUU